rnacentral:piRNA from 1 species
UNGUUUCAAAAGCUUUGACACUGGCCAAAUGU